rnacentral:rRNA from 1 species
AUACGGAGGGUGCAAGCGUUAAUCGGAAUUACUGGGCGUAAAGGGUACGUAGGCGGUUAUCUAAGUUGGAUGUGAAAGCCCCGGGCUCAACCUGGGAACUGCAUCCAAAACUGGGUAACUAGAGUGUAUAAGAGGUUAGCGGAAUUCCAGGUGUAGCAGUGAAAUGCGUAGAUAUCUGGAGGAACAUCAGUGGCGAAGGCGGCUAACUGGUAUAACACUGACGCUGAGGUACGAAAGCGUGGGGAGCGAACGGGAUUAGAAACCCUAGUAGUCC